rnacentral:tRNA from 2 species
GUACUCGUGGGCGACGGGGAUGCCCCACGCCUCUUCGAGCGUGGCGGGCCAGGCGCCGGCGACGACUUCGGGAUGCUCCGACCAGCCCUGGAACA